GCGUUGAUGAUUGGGCUUAGACCCAGUGGAGAGAGAUUAAUGUGGAACAGAUGGAUGUGCAGCUCAGAAGGUUUGCCAAGUAGUCCUGCAGAAGAAAAUUCCAAUGGGACAAGAGAAGUAUGAAGUAAAAAUAACAACAAAGACUCCC
rnacentral:lncRNA from 12 species